AGAAGAUCAUGGAGGUGUGGCAGAUCAUUGAUCAUUUGGACUCAUUAUAAAAAAACAAAAACGGGUACGUGACACCACUUCCUUAACAAAACUCUGAUCCUGCCAAAGCCCCCUCCAUCAAUCAGCAGUGACUCCAGUUGCAAUCAUGACCACUACCACAAAUCAGAAUGUGGAAUUUGUAAGGACUGGCUAUGGGAAGAAUAUGGUGAAAGUCCUACACAUUCGCCGUGAAGGAACUCAUCACCACAUUACUGAGCUUAUCGCAGAUGUUCAGUUAACACUGAAGACUCGCAAAGACUACCUGACAGGAGACAACUCUGACAUCAUCCCCACUGACACCAUCAAAAACACUGUCCAUGCCCUUGCCAAACUAAAGGGAAUAAGGGACAUUGAGAGCUUUGCCCUGGAUAUCUGUGAACAUUUCCUCACAGCGUUCAAGCAUGUCACAAGAGUGAGGGUCAACAUUGAUGAAGUUCCCUGGAAAAGACUGGAAAAGAAUGGAGUGGAGCACACACAUGCUUUCAUCCACUUUCCUGUGGCUUGGCACUUCUGUGAGGUCGAGCAACAUCUGAAUAUGACUCCAGUGGUUUACAGUGGUCUGAGAGACAUGAAGGUACUGAAGACCACUCAGUCUGGAUUUGAGGGCUUCUUGCAGGACCGUUUCACCACUCUGACAGAGACGAAGGACAGAUUCUUCUGCACUUCUGUUUAUGCUAAAUGGCGCUACAACACGGUGAAUGUAGCAUUUGAUGCUGCAUGGAAAACUGUGAGGGACACCAUCAUUGAAAAGUUUGCUGGACCCUAUGAUCGUGGGGAAUAUUCUCCUUCUGUUCAGAAAACUCUGUAUGAUACACAACUCCUAGUGCUUGACAGAAUUCCAGAGGUUGAGGAAAUUGAAAUAAUUAUGCCAAACCAGCAUUAUUUCUUAAUAGACAUGACGAAAAUGGGACUCUCAAACAAGGAUGAGGUGUAUCUUCCUCUUGAUAAUCCAUCAGGAAAUAUCACAGGCACAGUGGGCAGAAAACCAAGAGCCAAACUCUGAAGACAAACAACAUACACCUAGAAACUCUACAAAAGCUGACCAAGAGGACCAAGAGAACCGAACUACAAGUGUAAACACACCCUAAGUCUGCAAAAGGGGCCAGUGGAAGAAGUUGAAGAUGGGAACUGAAGAUUUCAAACGGCUAAACAAAAAGUUGCAAGGAGAAGCUCCAGACUCACUGGACCCAGAGACAAUUCCUUUUUUGUUUCAUCUUUGAGUGUCUCUAGCUACUGGUUUAUUAUAUAUCAGAGUGUUGCCAAUAUGACAUUGAAACAUUGGACAUACAGUUUUUGCCAAUAAUGUACCCUGUAGAAUACCCAUAGUACAUCUGUGAGCUGUGUAUAUGUUUUCUUGCUCCUAUUGAUAUCUUAUACACUUACCUUUUAGUGUCU